UUGGCUCUGUGGGAGAUCGCUUCUACGGUGUUAUUUUUUGGCUAUGUUUUUUGGAAUUCAUCAAAGUUGGUAUUGUCGUCGGUUUCCCUGACACUGGGCGGCAAUGGCGUUGUUCUUGGUGUUGGCUGCAUUCGCGGCAAGCUUGCAACCAGAAGUAGUCAAGUUCGGCGGCCAAGUCCGCAUCAACAAUGUGUUCCGUUUUUGUUUCCUUGUGAUCAGUGGUUGCUGUGCUUUGUUCCUGGAGAGCUGCGGUUGGAUUGAGCGACUCAUCUUUGACAAUCCAUUGCUGCAGUCGAUUUUUUUUCUUAAUUGUUGGCAGCCGAAUUUGGUUUUCAACGUCUCUUGGACGGGCUUCAAAUCGCAUUUUGGUGGCAAAGUAAUAAGGCUUAGUGUGAGGUUGCUCUCUGCUAGAAGAUUCCCAUGAUCAAGCGUCUUCGAAGGUUCUAGAAGGGGAGUUCGGAUCAUUAGCAAGUGGGCGUGCAACAAAAGUUAUUCCUACGACAUGGGUUGUGUCUUUGGCGGAAGCGUGGAGAUGGGUUUGGCAGGGGUUGCUCCACAGAGAGGUUGAGCGUCAUCCUCCUCGCUCGUUGAAUCAAGCUGGCCUUCAUCGGAUAUGUGGCUUGUGGCGGAGUUGGAUUCUUGAGUUACUGGACUUUCCUAUCGACAACUACACCUCGCAAUUCGAUGCAUGCGGUGUUGUUGUGUGCUCAUCCAAGGCCAACUGAUAUUGACUCAAUAUUGCUAGGAAAUUAAAGCUAGCAUUGAUGACAAUGAGAGAAUGCUCUGCAGUAGUUGUUGAGAUGGAGCGGAAUGUUUCCAACAUCCUUAGUUAGGAAACGAGUAGCUAAUGUUGAGAGAAAACAUAGUCAAAAUUUAGGCUUGGAUUGUUGCAGCUACUGGCUAGUAUCAAGUAGUUGUUGUAGGUUGUUUUAAAUCACUGUAUUUUCCAACGAUCAAUAUAAAAAGAUAACCAUCUAAGUGAAUCCCUAGCAAUG